GCCGGCGCAGUGGCGCGUGCCUGUAGUCCCAGCUACUCGGGAGGCUGAGGUGGGAGGAUCGCUUGAGCCCAGAAGUUCUGGGCUGUAGUGCUGUUAUGCCGAUCGGGUGUCUGCACUAAGUUCAGCAUCAAUAUGGUGAACUCCUGGGAGCAGGGGACCACCAGGUUGCCUAAGGAGGGGUGAACCGGCCCAGGCUGGAAACAGAGCAGGUCAAAACUCCAUGCUGAUCAGUAGUGGGAUCGCACCUGUGAAUAGCCACUGCACUCCAGCCUGGGCAACAUAGCGAGACCCUGUCUCU
rnacentral:SRP_RNA from 1 species